AGACGAACCGUACAAACGUUAUUCGGAUUCACUGGGCUUAAAGGGUGCGUAGGCGGCCUGAUAAGUUGGGUGUGAAAUCCCUCGGCUCAACCGAGGAAUUGCGCUCAAUACUGUCAGGCUUGAGGGAGACAGAGGUGAGCGGAACUUAGGGUGGAGCGGUGAAAUGCGUUGAUAUCCUAAGGAACACCGGUGGCGAAGGCGGCUCACUGGGUCUCUUCUGACGCUGAGGCACGAAAGCUAGGGUAGCGAACGGGAUUAGAAACCCGAGUAGUCC
rnacentral:rRNA from 1 species